rnacentral:rRNA from 1 species
UACAGAGGGGGCAAGCGUUGUUCGGAAUUACUGGGCGUAAAUGGCGCGUAGGCGGCCUUCUAAGUCGAACGUGAAAUCCCCGGGCUCAACCCGGGAACUGCGUCCGAUACUGGAAGGCUUGAAUCCGGGAGAGGGAUGUGGAAUUCCAGGUGUAGCGGUGAAAUGCGUAGAUAUCUGGAGGAACACCGGUGGCGAAGGCGGCAUCCUGGACCGGUAUUGACGCUGAGGCGCGAAAGCCAGGGGAGCAAACGGG